GGCCGGAUAGCUCAGUUGGUAGAGCAACGGACUGAAAAUCCGUGUGUCCCCAGUUCAAUUCUGGGUCCUGCCACCA
rnacentral:tRNA from 1 species